GACGAACGCUGGCGGCGUGCUUAACACAUGCAAGUCGAACGGAAAGGCCCUGCAUUUGUGGGGUGCUCGAGUGGCGAACGGGUGAGUAACACGUGAGUAACCUGCCCUUGACUUUGGGAUAACUUCAGGAAACUGGGGCUAAUGCCGGAUAGUAGCUCCUGCUGCAUGGUGGGGGUUGGAAAGUUUCGGCGGUUGGUGAUGGACUCGCGGCUUAUCAGCUUGUUGGUGGGGUAGUGGCUUACCAAGGCUUUGACGGGUAGCCGGCCUGAGAGGGUGACCGGCCACAUUGGGACUGAGAUACGGCCCAGACUCCUACGGGAGGCAGCAGUGGGGAAGAUUGCACGAUGGGCGGAAGCCGGAUGCAGCAAGGCCGCGUGCGGGAUUACGGCCUUCGGGUUGGAGGCCGCUUUCGCAGGUGACGGAGCGUGAGUGACGGUAAUGGGUAAAGAAGCACCGGCUAACUACGUG
rnacentral:rRNA from 1 species